CAGCCGCCGCGGUAAUACGUAGGUGGCAAGCGUUGUCCGGAAUUAUUGGGCGUAAGGGGCUCGCAGGCGGUUUCUUAAGUCUGAUGUGAAAGCCCCCGGCUCAACCGGGGAGGGUCAUUGGAAACUGGGAAACUUGAGUGCAGAAGAGGAGAGUGGAAUUCCACGUGUAGCGGUGAAAUGCGUAGAGAUGUGGAGGAACACCAGUGGCGAAGGCGACUCUCUGGUCUGUAACUGACGCUGAGGAGCGAAAGCGUGGGGAGCGAACAGGAUUAGAUACCCGAGUAGUCCCUGUCUCUUAUAC
rnacentral:rRNA from 1 species